rnacentral:misc_RNA from 1 species
GAGACCAACUUUUCAUGCAACUGGUUGGCCUCUAAUUCUUUCUGAGUCAAGCUUGCAGUUGCUUCUUGGAGCUUCAGUUCUGAAUCACUGGCUAAAGAUUGAUGAGAUGCUUCUAGAUCGAAGACUCUCGCAUUAGCUUUCUGAACUGCCUUUCCAUGGUGUUCUAACUGCUCUUCGGUCGAUUUCAGCUUGUCCAGUAUCUCAUUCUCUCUAACAGCUGCAAUCUCAAGCUCUUUCUCGACAAUUCCAAGCUUAUCUUGGGUGGAUUGCAACUCAGCCUGCAAGACUUCAAGUAAUUUUUCAGUUUGCAAAAGCUUUUCACCUGUUUCGGCUGACAUGUCUUCAAAUUGUUUCCUUUCUUCAGUAGAAAUAUUGAGAAGGCUUGUCAAUUCCACUUCGGUUUCAUUUGCAGCUUGCAGCAUAUCUUCAAGGUGUGCUGAUUUAGAAUGCACUACUUCCAGUUCUGCAGACAGCUCAGAAACCCUACUACUGAGUUGUUUUGAU